rnacentral:rRNA from 1 species
UACAGAGGGGGCGAGCGUUGUUCGGAAUUACUGGGCGUAAAGGGCGCGUAGGCGGCCUUCUAAGUCGAACGUGAAAUCCCCGGGCUCAACCCGGGAACUGCGUCCGAUACUGGGAGGCUUGAAUCCGGGAGAGGGAUGUGGAAUUCCAGGUGUAGCGGUGAAAUGCGUAGAUAUCUGGAGGAACACCGGUGGCGAAGGCGGCAUCCUGGACCGGUAUUGACGCUGAGGCGCGAAAGCGUGGGGAGCAAACGGG